AAACUUACCUGGCUGGGGAGUUCCUGCGAUCACUGAGGCAGGACUCCUGUGGCGAGGCUCCACCAUUGCACUUUCGGUUGGGGCUGACCCGCAGGGCGGUCCUGAACUGGGAUAGGCCCAUUUCUCUUC
rnacentral:snRNA from 1 species